rnacentral:lncRNA from 1 species
CCAACCAAUUUUACCACUGUAUUCUUCCUCUUCCCUCUCCAACCCUGGAUAUCAAACCUAGGGUCUCCUGAGUGCAAAAUAAGUGCUAGACCAUUGAGUUAUAUUCAGCCCUCAUACUUCAAUAACUCUUUUGGGGUGAGAAGAUGUCUCAGCAGGUAAAGUGUUUGAUGUUGAAGCAUGAGCAUCCAAUUUCACAUUCCUAGCACCCAUGCAAAAGUUCGAUGCUGUCUGUAACCCCCAGCACCCAGGACUGGGCCAUGCUGUCUGGCCAAUCCAUUUGAAACUGUAAGCUUCAGGCUCAAUUUGAGAUGUAAUCUCAGAGAGAGAAGAGAAGAGAAGAGAAGAGAAGAGAAGAGAGGAGAGGAGAGGAGAGGAGAGGAGAGGAGAGGAGAGGAGAGGAGAGGAGAGGGGGAGGUGGAGGAGGAGGAGGAGAGGAGGAAGAGAGGAGGAGGAGAGGAGGGGAGGGGAGGGGAAAGGAGAGGAGAGGAGAGAAGAAGAGAAGAGAAGAGAAGAGAAGAGAAGAGAAGAGAAGAGAAGAGAAGAGAAGAGGAAGAGAAGACAUUCCCACACCAACCUCUAAUCAUCUAACCUCCAAAAACACACACUCAUGUGGAUCCUAGCUGGGAGUCCCUGGAGCCUGGUGAUAAGGUCUCUCUGCUCCAGCUCCUGGAAUGAUCUGCACUUCAGGUCACCGCCAGCUGUCACCAUCACGUCUUUAGACUACACAGUGUGCAUGGACGACCGUAUGCAGGUCACUUGGGUCAUUCUCCCUGCUUGUUUGGUUGAUGUAAUUCCACAGGUUCACGUGGAGAACUGGACAAACACUGGUAUGAGAGCAGCCCCCGUUUAUUGGUGGAGGAGACAUUCCAAGAUGCUCACUGAAUGCUGGAAACCAUAUUCAACUGUGGAUAUGCUAUAUUCAUACCUGGGAUACUGUCUAAUUUAUAUAU